AUGAAAAGUUGUGCAUUAGAGAAGUGGGAGUCGACCUUGAACCUUUGUGUUCAUGCCCACAUACCCGAUGUGGAACUUAUCAUGGAAGCUUCUUGUUAUAAUAAUAAUCCACUUGUGAUAAGUCCAUCUUGUAUCUAUGUUUGCUCAUUUGCAAUCGUGGUUCCAACCAUAUUGUUCUUGUCUGAUCCAUUUAUCGGACAAGUUAAAGUACUUGUAUUCUUUAGAUCGUUUCACCUGUUCAACCUCUACGUUGAUAUACCGCUGAGUGUUACCCUCUGGUAUCUCGAGAAUAUCAUGGAACUACAUAACUUCUUAUGA
rnacentral:rRNA from 1 species